rnacentral:rRNA from 1 species
GACGAACGCUGGCGGCGUGCCUAAUACAUGCAAGUAGAACGCUGAAGGAGGAGCUUGCUUCUCUGGAUGAGUUGCGAACGGGUGAGUAACGCGUAGGUAACCUGCCUGGUAGCGGGGGAUAACUAUUGGAAACGAUAGCUAAUACCGCAUAAGAGUAGAUGUUUCAUGACAUUUUCUUAAAAGGUGCAAUUGCUUCACUACCAGAUGGACCUGCGUUGUAUUAGCUAGUUGUUGGGGUAACGGCUCACCAAGGCGACGAUACAUAGCCGACCUGUGAGGGUGAUAGGCCAAACUGGGAGUGAGAAAAGGCCCAGAAGGCUACGGGAGGCAGCAGUAGGGAAACUUCGGAAAUGGACGGAAGUCUGACCGAGAAACGCCGCGGGAGUGAAGAAGGUUGUCGGAUCGUAAAGCUCUGUUGUAAGAGAAGAAAGAGUGUGAGAGUGGAAAGUUCACACUGUGACGGUAACUUAACAGAAAGGGACGGCUAACUACGUG